rnacentral:rRNA from 1 species
UUUUAGGAAGGAGAAAGACCAAGGCCAAACCAUGGGAAUUCCUGUUAAACUGAUAAACUAGAGAGAGACGGGGGAGAGGGGAAUUCCUGGAGGAGAGGUUAAAUUCGUACAUAUCAGGAGGAAGGCCGAAAGCAAAGGCAACUCUCUACCUCUUGACUGACGCUGAGGCGCGAAAGCAUGGGUAUCGAAGGGGAUUAGAUACCCCCGUAGUCCAUGCCGUCAACGAUGAGGAUUAAUUGUUAGAAGAGCAGUUUAAAGCUCUUUUGGUAGUAACAGCUAACGCGUUAAAUCCUCCGCCUGAGGAGUACGACCGCAAGGUUAAAACUCAAAUGAAUUGACGGAUG